GUCUCUCGAUAAAGCCCGGGGCUUAACCCCGGUCCAGCGAGGGAAACCGGUGGGAUUGAGGAUGCGAGAGGUGUACGGAACUCAUGGUGUAGAGGUGAAAUUCGUUGAUAUCAUGGGGAACACCAAAGGCGAAGGCAGUACACUGGCGCAUUCCUGACGCUGAGGCACGAAAGCCAGGGGAGAGAAGUGGAUUAGAUACCCACGUAUUCCUGGCCCUAAACGUUGUCCGCUAGCUUUUUGGAGAAUCGACCCUCUGAGAGGCGAAGCUAACGCGUUAAGCGGACCGCCUGGGUAGUACGGCCGCAAGGCUAAAACUCAAAGGAAUAGACGGGGGCUUGCACAAGCAGUGGAGCAUGUGGUUUAAUCCGAUGAUAAGCGACGAACCUUACCAGGGCUAGAAACCCAACUGUGCCUCGAUGGAAACAUUGAGGGUCUACGAGAUUGUUGGGCAGGUGAUGCAUGGCCGUCGUCAGCUCGUGGCUUGAGCUUUUCCCUUAAGUGGGGUAACGAGCGCAACCCUCAUUGCCUGUUAUACGUGUCAGGCGAGACUGCCCGGACUUCCGGGAGGAAGGAGAGGAUGACGUCAGGUCUGUAUGUCCCUAGAUGCCCUGGGCGACACACAUGCUACAAUGGCAAGGACAACGGGAUGCGACGUCGAAAGGCUGAGCUAAUCCUUAGAAACCUUGCCUCAGUUCGGAUUGAGGUCUGCAACUCGACCUCAUGAAGUUGGAAUUGCUAGUAAU
rnacentral:rRNA from 1 species